rnacentral:lncRNA from 1 species
GUUUUCUCAUGGCAUGCUCAUGCAGUUGAUAAUGAAAUGCCGAGUUUUUUAUAACUAGGUUGUCGGCAGGAAUCCAGCUCAGGUUACGAGUGACCGACAGUUGCUACCAUCUACUGGCUGUUUGCAAUCCUGUGUGAAACAACAGGGCAUUGAGACUCCUUCCUGGUCCUGUCGGCCCACGUUGUGGACAAAUGGCUUCUGUCUGGCUGGCAAUCUGACCAAAAGCUUGUUGGGAUUGGCACCCGACAAGGGGGGUAACAUUUUCACAAGUCCUUUGAGCGGGUCUUUGGCUCCUGUAUUGUAACUAAGGUGUGCAGACCUGCUGUUGAAUGGUGGAUGGAUUUGAUCCUGUGCCUGUUCUGACUACGUCUAUCUGAUCAGUAAGAUGGGAUUCAGCUCCAGCUAAAGAUGACUAACUGCUUUCUUGUUUCUCACUGCUCAUGUGUGCAGACCCAUCUGCCUCAUGGUGAUGGCAGCAGGGCUGGAGGAGGUGAUGAGGACCUCUGGGCAGGGCUGUGCAGAAGACAUCUGUGGCUGCUAGUGAUGAAAGGAGGAUGUGGAAAGAAGGAGAGGUGUUCUGAGAGUCUUUUGAAGUCCUUUUGA